CUGGUAACUUCGUCGUAAAUGGAAAAACGCGGGCCUGGUAACUUCUUCGUAAACGGAAAAGCCUGGUAAAUCGAUUCAACGUAAUUUCGUCGUAAAUAGAAAAACGGGGGCCUGGUAACUUCGUCGUAAAUAGAAAAAUGCGGGCCUUGUAACUUCGUUGUAAAUAGAAAAACGCGGGCCUGGUAACUUCGUCGUAAUUUUACGUCGCGUUUACGACGAAACGUUUUCUAUAUAUUGAGACGCCGAGAACGAGGCUGCCUCGUUCAUUCCUCCCAAACUCUUUUGCUCUCCCUCUAAGGUACACUCCCUUUCCUCUUCUAUUUUUUUUAAAGUUAGUUUAGGUGAUUAAUUAGUUAGGUAAUUAGUUUAGGUGAUUAGUUAGGUAAUUAGUUUAGGUAAUUAGUUAGAUGACGGAAUACUAUAGUUUAGGUGAUUAGUUAGGUAACAGAAUAUUUUUUUAAUUAUGUCGUCGUAAUUGAUUGAAUUUAUUUUAAU
rnacentral:lncRNA from 1 species